GCGGACGGGCAGCCGGUUGGGCUGGGCCCGGAAGGGUGUGCAGUAGAGCAAGAGGAGGAAGUGGAGGGAAAGGAACCAGAUGCUUCUGAGACAGGCUACCAUCUCUGCGUGCAGUCCCCGCGGAAUUUACGCACUUUCGUCUUGUGCUCUUAGAUGUUCUCCAGGUAGACUGCAACCAACACCUUUAGAAUAAACCCACCUGUGCUUGGGCCAGCCUGAGAGGUCUUCAUUCCUUGCUGUCCAGAAAACCUUCAAAGGCUGCAGCAUAACCAGCUUCUAACAUUGUCCACUGGAGCAGAGACUUUGGGAGCCGAGGUGAAGAUGGCGCAACUACCAGAGGGAGAGCUGGAUUCUAGAGUCCCCACUUGCUUGCCUGGAAGGAGAUCUGCUCAGAACUGCCAGGAUGUCAGAACACGGCUCUGUACGAGCUCCUGAGAUCCAGGGCUGUAGUUGUGAGAAUUUGUCCUAAUGCCUCUGGUCUUUGCCUGUGCUUCAGCUUAUUUGGGGGAACAAAACCAAUCUGAUUGCUCUCAACAUCCAGUUGUCACUGAUUGGGUUCAAGGAAAUUAUUUUAUCUUCAGAAAACAUUUUGUUAUUUGAAGCAGCUAUAUAAGGGCUUCCCUGGAGGAUCCAGUCUCAGCUGGUUGCUCCUCACAUGUGAU
rnacentral:lncRNA from 1 species